CGGACGGGUGAGUAAUGUCUGGGAAACUGCCUGAUGGAGGGGGAUAACUACUGGAAACGGUAGCUAAUACCGCAUAACGUCGCAAGACCAAAGAGGGGGACCUUCGGGCCUCUUGCCAUCGGAUGUGCCCAGAUGGGAUUAGCUAGUAGGUGGGGUAAAGGCUCACCUAGGCGACGAUCCCUAGCUGGUCUGAGAGGAUGACCAGCCACACUGGAACUGAGGCACGGUCCAG
rnacentral:rRNA from 1 species